UACGGAAGGCAGCAGUGGGGAAUAUUGCACAAUGGGCGAAAGCCUGAUGCAGCUAUGCCGCGUGUAUGAAGAAGGCCUUAGGGUUGUAAAGUACUUUCAUCGGGGAGGAAAAAACAAAACUAAUAAUUUUAUUUCUUGACGUUACCCGAAAAAGAAGCACCGGCUAACUCCGUGCCAGCAGCCGCGGUAAUACGGAGGGUGCUAGCGUUAAUCAGAAUUACUGGGCGUAAAGAGCACGUAGGUGGUUUUUUUAAAGUCAGAUGUGAAAUCCCUGGGCUUAACCUAGGAACUGCAUUUUGAAACUGAAAUACUAGAGUAUCGUAGAGGGAGGUAGAAUUCUAGGUGUAGCGGUGAAAUGCGUAGAUAUCUGGAGGAAUACCUGUGGCGAAAGCGGCCUCCUAAACGAAUACUGACACUGAGGUGCGAAAGCGUGGGGAGCAAACAGGGGUUAGAUACCCGU
rnacentral:rRNA from 1 species